AGUUGCCAUCAUUAUUGGGCACUCUAAAGAGACUGCCGGUGUCAAACCGGAGGAAGUGGGGAUGACGUCAAGUCCUCAUGGCCUUUAUGACCAGGGCUACACACGUACUACAAUGGCCGGUACAAAGGGCAGCCACUUAGCGAUAAGGAGCCAAUCCCGUAAAGCCGGUCUCAGUCCGGAUUGGAGUCUGCAACUCGACUCCAUGAAGUUGGAAUCGCUAGUAAUCGCAGAUCAGCACGCUGCGGUCGAAUACGUUCCCGGGCCUU
rnacentral:rRNA from 1 species